rnacentral:pre_miRNA from 2 species
GUGCAGUCACCCAUAAAGUAGAAAGCACUACUAACAGCACUGGAGGGUGUAGUGUUUCCUACUUUAUGGAUGAGUGUACU